rnacentral:rRNA from 1 species
UUUUGCGGUACUCUGACCGUGCAAAGGUAGCAUAAUCAUUUGCCUUAUAAUUGAAGGCUGGUAUGAAUGGUUUGACAAGAAUAUAGCUGUCUCUUUCUGAUUAAAUAGAAUUUUAUUUAUAGGUGAAGAAGCCUAUAUUUAAUUAAAAGACAAGAAGACCCUAUCGAGCUUGAGAUAAGUUAGUAAGUUGAAUAUAUUAAUAAUAUUAAAAAAUUAAUUGCUAAAAACUUUGGUUGGGGCGACUGAGGAACAAAUAAAGCUUCCUUUAAUUAAAACAAAUCACACAAAUAUUUGAUCCAGAAAUUUCUGAUUAAAGAAAUUAGUUACCGUAGGGAUAACAGCAUUAUCUUUUUUAAGAGUUCUUAUCGAAAAGAAGGUUUGUGACCUCGAUGUUGGACCAGAAUAUCCUAAAGGUGCAGCAGUCUUAA